GACGAACGCUGGCGGCGUGCUUAACACAUGCAAGUCGAACGGUGAAGCGCCUUCCUUUUUGGUGGGUGUGGAUGAGUGGCGAACGGGUGAGUAACACGUGAGUAACCUGCCCCCUUCUUCUGGAUAACCGCAUGAAAGUGUGGCUAAUACGGGAUAUUCUGGGUCUGUCGCAUGAUGGGUCUGGGACAGCUAUUGUUUCGGUGGGGGAUGGGCUCGCGGCCUAUCAGCUUGUUGGUGGGGUGAUGGCCUACCAAGGCGGUGACGGGUAGCCGGCCUGAGAGGGUGGACGGUCACACGGGGACUGAGACACGGCCCAGACUCCUACGGGAGGCAGCAGUGGGGAAUAGUGCACAAUGGGCGCAAGCCUGAUGCAGCGACGCCGCGUGAGGGAUGGAGGCCUUCGGGUUGUGAACCUCUUUCGCCAGUGAAGCAGGCCUGCCUCGUUUGUGGGUGGGUUGACGGUAGCUGGAUAAGAAGCGCCGGCUAACUACGUG
rnacentral:rRNA from 1 species